CCUUGACAUACUAAGAACUUUCCAGAGAUGGAUUGGUGCCUUCGGGAACUUAGAUACAGGUGCUGCAUGGCUGUCGUCAGCUCGUGUCGUGAGAUGUUGGGUUAAGUCCCGNAACGAGCGCAACCCUUUUCCUUAUUUGCCAGCGGGUCAUGCCGGGAACUUUAAGGAUACUGCCAGUGACAAACUGGAGGAAGGCGGGACGACGUCAAGUCAUCAUGGCCCUUACGGCCAGGGCUACACACGUGCUACAAUGGUCGGUACAAAGGGUUGCUACCUCGCGAGAGGAUGCUAAUCUCAAAAGGCCGAUCGUAGUCCGGAUCGCAGUCUGCAACUCGACUGCGUGAAGUCGGAAUCGCUAGUAAUCGCGGAUCAGAAUGCCGCGGUGAAUACGUUCCCGGGCCUUGUACACACCGCCCGUCACACCAUGGGAGUUUGUUGCACCAGAAGUAGGUAGUCUAACCGCAAGGAGGACGCUUACCACGGUGUGGCCGAUGACUGGGGUGAAGUCGUAACAAGGUAGGCGUAGAUGA
rnacentral:rRNA from 1 species